AGCAGCCUCACACUCCAAAAUGCG
rnacentral:siRNA from 1 species